AAUGGUGCAAGGAAGAGAAGCAGUAACAGAAAUCUUCAUCUGACCAAACUUCCUGCUUUGCCUCAGCCAGUCUAUGGAACCUGGUGGUUUUGGUGGACAGGCUGACGUGUCUUCUCCUGGAUAUGAGCAGAGAGUGGGACUCCAGCGGGAUGGAUGAAGGCUGGUAAAGGAUGGCUAGGAGGAAGUUUGUAGUUGUCUGAACAGAGAAAGAAUAUCUUCAAAGGCGCUGGAGCCUGAGGUCUGCAUGUACGGGAAAAAAGUAAAAGCCGACCGAUAAAACGUGGGAUGACCGCAGGGAAGGAACGCUCUCUCCUUGCUGUACCUAAGGCUGAGCAGCCGCGUGGCCCUUCCUUCGCAACACGACUCAUUUCCGGUACAGCUUGCCACCCUCAAGUCCAAGUGGUGAAGGCACUUGUAGACGUGAUCAGGAGAGGAGGAGUAUCUUCACUACCCUGAAGAGGCUGUGCAGACUAUCACCUGAAGACAAAUCUAUAUCUGAGACAUCGGUCUACUAAGAUUGGACCUUCCUGCAAGAAUUGGAGGGCUGAUGAAACUUUGAGGAAGCUCUAGUCCGCAUUGUUCCUCUGCACUCGAAAUGACACACUGGAUCCUCAAGUGAGCGUGGUGAGUCCACUGAUUCCUGCUUUGUACCAAGUGAGGAGGGAGGAGUAAAGUUAGGAUUCUUGCGUUGUUCUCU
ensembl:lncRNA